rnacentral:rRNA from 1 species
UAGGGAAUAUUGCACAAUGGACGCAAGUCUGAUGCAGCAACGCCGCGUGAGUGAAGAAGGCCCUUGGGUUGUAAAGCUCUUUAGCCUGGAAAGAAGUGUCCGUGGGUGAACAAUCCGCGGGUGUGACGGUACCAGGAGAAUAAGCACCGGCUAAUUUCGUGCCAGCAGCCGCGGUAAUACGAAAGGUGCAAGCGUUACUCGGAAUAACUGGGCGUAAAGCGCGCGUAGGCGGUCUUGUAUGUCGAUUGUGAAAGCCCCGGGCUCAACCUGGGAACCGCAGUUGAAACUGCAAGACUUGAAUGUUGGAGAGGGUGGGGGAAUACCUAGUGGAGAAGUGAAAUUCGUAGAGAUUAGGUGGAACACCAGAGGCGAAGGCGCCUGCCUGGCCAAACAUUGACGCUGAGGCGCGAAAGUGCGGGGAGCAAACAGGAUUAGAUACCCCUGUAGUCC